rnacentral:ribozyme from 1 species
UGCCCAGCAACUCCUAUCCCUACCUCUUCGUGAUACUGGCCGGAAACUAUGAGCAACCUUAGGGAAGAUCGGAACCAACUCCGGUGGGAACUUUGGUCGUAGGCUAACAGGGAAGG